rnacentral:lncRNA from 1 species
GGGAGGGCAAGCCGCCCAUCCUUCCCACUUCUCUGCAGCCCUGGGGGCAGGGUUCCGUCUUCCCAUCCGCCCUCCACACUGGGCUGAAGAGUGCUCCUGGGGAGCACAUUAUUUAGCACCUACUGUGUGCCAAGACUACAGCACUUACACAAGCGUGGCUUCCAGUAACCUUCACAUCAACUUUGCAAGCCCUGCUCUCAUCCCUGAUGUGAGAACCUGGUUCAUUCCCAUCAUGUGCCUCAGUUUCCAUUUUCUGCUCUGCAGAGGAGGUAAGCUGCCAUGGCAGUUAGUUCUUCUUCAAGAAAUCUUCAGUUCCUCUUAUGUGCCAGGCACUGGAGACAAAUAGAAAGCAAGAUACAUCCUGGGCCUGGCCCCUUGGCGUGCACAGUCAAGUAAAACAUAGCGCGGAGGCAGUGCCUUCUCCUUCUAACAGUUUUUGUCCAUCUGACAUCGGGGAUUUUCUGUGUGAUAUUUCACAUCCAUUAACUCCGUGACAUGGUCAUAGUCUAGGCCAGCAGACUGGGUGAGGGGUGGCAGACUGCAGGGCCCUGUGGUUUUUGUAACUCCAGGGUUGACCCGAGGACCAUUAGCACACACUGGCGUGGGUGCACCCCCAGAAUUCUCAGCCUGGAUCUUCUACAGGCCUACUCGGAGCUGGAGGCCUGCCUCUCUGGCUGCACCUGUGUGGGAACGGGGGCACUGGCAUUCACCCGCACCAGUAAAGGUUUAUGACAGGGCCAAGAUAGGAGGGUACCACGCUCACUGCUCAAAGCGGCAUUUGACUAGUGAUGGACUCCAUGGGUCCGUGUCCUCCUUUCCUCGCUUGAUCUCACAGUCAGUCUAGGCAGGUUCCAUGUCACCGUGUGACAGAAACAAGCCACUCAGGAGGGAAGUAGCAAAGCUGGGUUAAACUCAGGGCUCCCAGCUCCAGAAGGGAAGCAGGCUGCAUGGAGGGUGCUGGUCAGACAUCCCUGUGGGAAGGGGGUAAACUCGUUUGGAUCAAACUGGGUAAAGUGUGAAGCAAGGACUCAGGAAGUUGGAUAUUUUUCACCCUUUCACUGUUGCCUUCUCAAUCUCCGAUAACAAGUGCCGGAGUCCAGCUCCAGCAGAGUCCAGGUUCCUGAGGGAGAGACGGAGUUGGCGCAGUGAAGGAGGGGACGUGAGACUUGAAUCGGUGCAAUCAAGUCUGUCUUUACU